rnacentral:rRNA from 1 species
GAUGAACGCUGGCGGCGUGCCUAAUACAUGCAAGUCGAGCGAACGGACGAGAAGCUUGCUUCUCUGAUGUUAGCGGCGGACGGGUGAGUAACACGUGGAUAACCUACCUAUAAGACUGGGAUAACUUCGGGAAACCGGAGCUAAUACCGGAUAAUAUUUUGAACCGGAUGGUUCAAAAGUGAAAGACGGUCUUGCUGUCACUUAUAGAUGGAUCCGCGCUGCAUUAGCUAGUUGGUAAGGUAACGGCUUACCAAGGCAACGAUGCAUAGCCGACCUGAGAGGGUGAUCGGCCACACUGGAACUGAGACACGGUCCAGACUCCUACGGGAGGCAGCAGUAGGGAAUCUUCCGCAAUGGGCGAAAGCCUGACGGAGCAACGCCGCGUGAGUGAUGAAGGUCUUCGGAUCGUAAAACUCUGUUAUUAGGGAAGAACAUAUGUGUAAGUAACUGUGCACAUCUUGACGGUACCUAAUCAGAAAGCCACGGCUAACUACGUG